AGGGCUCCUAAUACUAUGACCAAAGACUGAAGCUCUCUAUGAGAUGCCAGCCACUCAAUAGUGCACUUUUUCUGAGAAGAUAUAGAC
rnacentral:snoRNA from 10 species